GACGAACGCUGGCGGCGUGCUUAACACAUGCAAGUCGUACGGUAAGGCCCUUUCGGGGGCUCACGUGUUGCGAACGGGUGAGUAACACGUGAGUAACCUGCCCACUACUUUGUGAUAACGCUUGACAACUGGUGCCAAUACCGGAUAUGUCCUCCCGCCGCAUGGCGGGGGUUGGAAAGCUCCGGGGGUUGUGGAAGGACUCGCGGCCUAUCGGCUUGAUGGUGGGGUAGUGGCCUGCCAGGGCGUCGGCGGGUAGCCGGCCUGAGGGGGUGACCGGCCACAUUGAGACUGAGAUACGGCCCAGACUCCGACGGGAGGCAGCAGUGGGGAAUAUUGCACAAGGGGCGCAAGCCUGAUGCAGCAGCGCCGCGGGCGGGAAGACGGCCUUCGGGUUGUAAACCGCUGUCAGCAGGGACGAAGCUUUUAGUGACGGUACCUGCAGAAGAAGCACCGGCUAACUCCGUG
rnacentral:rRNA from 1 species